GAUGAACGCUGGCGGCGUGCCUAACACAUGCAAGUCGAACGAUGAAACCGCCCUCGGGCGGACAUGAAGUGGCGAACGGGUGAGUAACACGUGACCGACCUGCCCCCCGCCCAGGGACAGCCCCCCGAAAGGGGGAUUAAUACCUGGUACUCCGGAAGCGGCCCAUGCCGCCCCCGGGAAAGCCCUGGCGGCGGGGGAUGGGGUCGCGGCCCAUCAGGUAGACGGCGGGGUAGGAGCCCACCGUGCCGACGACGGGUAGCCGGGUUGAGAGACCGACCGGCCACAUUGGGACUGAGAUACGGCCCAGACUCCUACGGGAGGCAGCAGUGGGGAAUUUUGCGCAAUGGGGGCAACCCUGACGCAGCAACGCCGCGUGCGGGACGAAGGCGUCCGCGUCGUAAACCGCUUUCAGCGGGGAACACUUUUCGAGGGUACCCGCAGAAGAAGCCCCGGCUAAAUACGUGCCAGCCGCCGCAGUAA
rnacentral:rRNA from 1 species